rnacentral:rRNA from 1 species
UGGGGAAUUUUGGACAAUGGGCGCAAGCCUGAUCCAGCCAUGCCGCGUGAGUGAAGAAGGCCUUCGGGUUGUAAAGCUCUUUCGGCGGGAACGAAAUAGCGCGGGCGAAUAUCCCGCGUCGAUGACGGUACCCGAAGAAGAAGGACCGGCUAACUACGUGCCAGCAGCCGCGGUAAUACGUAGGGUCCAAGCGUUAAUCGGAAUUACUGGGCGUAAAGCGUGCGUAGGUGGUUUGUUAAGUCAGGUGUGAAAUCCUCGGGCUCAACCCGGGAACUGCGCUUGAUACUGGCAGACUCGAGUGUGGUAGAGGAUAGUGGAAUUCCCGGUGUAGCGGUGAAAUGCGUAGAUAUCGGGAGGAACAUCAGUGGCGAAGGCGGCUAUCUGGACCAACACUGACACUGAGGUACGAAAGCGUGGGUAGCAAACAGGAUUAGAUACCCUGGUAGUCCACGCCCUAAACGAUGGGUACUAGACGUCGGGAAGCUUGUCUUCUUGGUGUCGCAGCUAACGCAAUAAGUACCCCGCCUGGGGAGUACGGUCGCAAGAUUA